UAUGCCCGUUUCCUUUUGUUGAUAGGGCAAAGAAAAGGGGAUAUACGAACGGAUGAACCCCAUGAACGAACACAGCGAGAGGGAAAACUCGAAGGCUUGCAGGCGGCACCAUGUUUCAUCGAUCGGUUCGCGAGAAGGAUCGCCGCUCCGGGGUUCGACGAGGCCGAAGGAGAGAAGGGAAGAGCACCGAAGUAUGCUCUAUUCUCGUCCGAUAGCGAGGGGCGAAACGGAUGAGUGUUUUAAUUGUUUAUGAUCGAGGGUGCGGUGUGGCUAAAGUGUUACGAAGGGAAAGGGGUUAGACGAGGUUUCAUCGGUCUCGGUGGGUGCAACGAUGGAGUGGAAUGCGAGGCCAGAAAAGGGGUCCCGUAGAAGCAUGUCAAGCAGCGCCUUCGGCUUCUGGUGAGGUCUCCGGCGGCAGUUCUCGACAGCAGGAAAAAGGAGCGUGCGAUGGAUGUUUUGCUCCGGAGAAAGAAUGAGGGUGGAGCAUCAUCGAAUGGGUGGUGGAGGUUGUUUCGAUAGUGUUGAUUCUGUAGGGCAAAGGAAAGGAGGUAGUCGACCUUUGGAGGAAAAACACACACACACACUUCGGUGUGUUCAUGGUAUCAACAAAGAAGGUGAAGGAAAGAUGGGGCUUGGUGUUUCACAGCUUCAUUUGAGAAAAAUUUAUAACACGUUUGCUUUAGGGUGUGGUUUUGUAUAACAUGAUUUUUCUAUAGUGUGUGGUUUUGUAUAACAUGAUUUUCUAGCUUAGGUAGUUGAUCAAGAUAGAGAGGUAUGAGUUUUAAACUUGUAAGACAUAUAGUCAAGAAAUCAGGUAUUCUUAUGAUUUUGGGAA